GCGGCGGACGGGUGAGUAAUGCCUAGGAAUCUGCCUGGUAGUGGGGGAUAACGUCCGGAAACGGGCGCUAAUACCGCAUACGUCCUGAGGGAGAAAGUGGGGGAUCUUCGGACCUCACGCUAUCAGAUGAGCCUAGGUCGGAUUAGCUAGUUGGUGGGGUAAAGGCCUACCAAGGCGACGAUCCGUAACUGGUCUGAGAGGAUGAUCAGUCACACUGGAACUGAGACACGGUCCAGACUCC
rnacentral:rRNA from 1 species